rnacentral:rRNA from 1 species
GAUGAACGCUGGCGGCGUGCCUAAUACAUGCAAGUCGAGCGAACAGAUGAGGAGCUUGCUCCUCUGACGUUAGCGGCGGACGGGUGAGUAACACGUGGAUAACCUACCUAUAAGACUGGGAUAACUUCGGGAAACCGGAGCUAAUACCGGAUAAUAUAUUGAACCGCAUGGUUCAAUAGUGAAAGACGGUUUUGCUGUCACUUAUAGAUGGAUCCGCGCCGCAUUAGCUAGUUGGUAAGGUAACGGCUUACCAAGGCAACGAUGCGUAGCCGAACUGAGAGGGUGAUCGGCCACACUGGAACUGAGACACGGUCCAGACUCCUACGGGAGGCAGCAGUAGGGAAUCUUCCGCAAUGGGCGAAAGCCUGACGGAGCAACGCCGCGUGAGUGAUGAAGGUCUUCGGAUCGUAAAACUCUGUUAUUAGGGAAGAACAAAUGUGUAAGUAACUAUGCACGUCUUGACGGUACCUAAUCAGAAAGCCACGGCUAACUACGUG